AAAUACUAUUUUUGUUGAGCAUUUAAUUUUAAGCUUGGUACAAUUUUGAAGAGUAUUUCUUAAUUUUUAGAUAAUCCUGAAAGUGCAUCCAAGGCAGUUAAAAAGAAGCAUCCUAAACUAUUGAAAAUAAAAAUAUAAUUUGACGAGAGGAGUUUGAAAUGUUGUAUUCAUUACAGGAGGCCUAAAAGAAGACAAACAUGAAAGUUAAAAAAUUAACUGUAUUAUCAUGAACAAGUGUAAUGGUGAAACAUUUUUGCUAUAAUUAAGUUAUAAUCUGAUUACAAGUCAUGUUAAGAAUAAAAAUUUGACAGUAA